rnacentral:rRNA from 1 species
UAAGGAAUAUUGGUCAAUGGAGGCAACUCUGAACCAGCCAUGCCGCGUGAAGGAUUAAGGCCCUCUGGGUUGUAAACUUCUUUUAUAUGGGAAGAAAUGUUCUGAUUCUUCAGAGCUUGACGGUACCAUAGGAAUAAGCACCGGCUAACUCCGUGCCAGCAGCCGCGGUAAUACGGAGGGUGCAAGCGUUAUCCGGAUUCACUGGGUUUAAAGGGUGCGUAGGUGGGCAGAUAAGUCAGUGGUGAAAUCUUCCGGCUUAACCGGAAAAUUGCCGUUGAUACUAUUUGUCUUGAAUAUUGUGGAGGUAAGCUGAAUAUGUCAUGUAGCGGUGAAAUGCUUAGAUAUGACAUAGAACACCAAUUGCGAAGGCAGCUUACUAUAUAAUUAUUGACACUGAGGCACGAAAGCGUGGGUAGCGAACA